UACGGAGGAUCCAAGCGUUAUCCGGAAUCAUUGGGUUUAAAGGGUCCGUAGGCGGCCCUGUAAGUCAGUGGUGAAAUCUCCCGGCUCAACCGGGAAAUUGCCAUUGAUACUGCAGGGCUUGAAUUACUAGGAAGUAACUAGAAUAUGUAGUGUAGCGGUGAAAUGCUUAGAGAUUACAUGGAAUACCAAUUGCGAAGGCAGGUUACUACUAGUGGAUUGACGCUGAUGGACGAAAGCGUGGGUAGCGAACAGGAUUAGAUACCCUGGUAGUCCACGCCGUAAACGAUGGAUACUAGCUGUUGGGGGUAACUUCAGUGGCUAAGCGAAAGUGAUAAGUAUCCCACCUGGGGAGUACGGGCGCAAGCCUGAA
rnacentral:rRNA from 1 species